rnacentral:rRNA from 1 species
UAUGCAAGUACACGUCCCACGUCCUGUUUGUGCCGGCGACACGAUCCGAAUUGACUGGGGAUACCCUCACCAGCCUGUCUCACCAACUCUGUGUGGGAAACCGCUAGAGGGCCCGUGCUAACUACACGGGGUGGUAACAGACGACAUGGAUACCUCCACGCCUUUGGUGUGGAUACCAUGGGCAAUCCGCAGCGAAGCCUCUAAGUCCAGCCGCCGGAUAUGAGGAACGUUCACAGACUAAGUGGAAGUGGGUGGAGCGUACGCCGCUCUGCUUAAGAUAUAGUCGGGCCCCUUGGGAAACUAACGGGGUGAGUACACUGCUCGAAAUUCAAACUUCGAACGUGUCUCGGAUAGCGCUCGUGUCAGAAUAUCGAGACUGUCGACUGCCUCGUGGUAAUGACAGCUCUUAAUAACGUNGCCGUAAGGUGNGACCUG